rnacentral:rRNA from 1 species
GACGAACGCUGGCGGCGUGCUUAACACAUGCAAGUCGAACGGAAAGGCCCUGCUUUUGUGGGGUGCUCGAGUGGCGAACGGGUGAGUAACACGUGAGUAACCUGCCCUUGACUUUGGGAUAACUUCAGGAAACUGGGGCUAAUACCGGAUAGGAGCUCCUGCUGCAUGGUGGGGGUUGGAAAGUUUCGGCGGUUGGGGAUGGACUCGCGGCUUAUCAGCUUGUUGGUGGGGUAGUGGCGUACCAAGGCUUUGACGGGUAGCCGGCCGGAGAGGGUGACCGGCCACAUUGGGACUGAGAUACCGCCCAGACUCCUACGGGAGGCAGCAGUGGGGAAUAUUGCACGAUGGGCGGAAGCCUGAUGCAGCAACGCCGCGUGCGGGAUGACGGCCUUCGGGUUGUAAACCGCUUUCGCCUGUGACGAAGCGUGAGUGACGGUAAUGGGUAAAGAAGCACCGGCUAACUACGUG